rnacentral:rRNA from 1 species
GACGUAGGGCGCGAGCGUUGUCCGGAUUUAUUGGGCGUAAAGAGCUCGUAGGCGGUUUGGUAAGUCUGGUGUGAAAUCUCCACGCUCAACGUGGAGGGGCCACCCGAUACUGCCAUGACUGGAGUCCGGUAGAGGAGUGUGGAAUUCCCGGUGUAGCGGUGAAAUGCGCAGAUAUCGGGAGGAACACCCGUAGCGAAGGCGGCACUCUGGGCCGGUACUGACGCUGAGGAGCGAAAGCGUGGGGAGCAAACAGG